rnacentral:rRNA from 1 species
UACGGGGGGGGCAAGCGUUGUUCGGAAUUACUGGGCGUAAAGGGCUCGUAGGUGGCCGCCUCAGUCCGACGUGAAAUCCCUCGGCUCAACCGGGGAACUGCGUCGGAUACUGGGUGGCUUGAAUCCGGGAGAGGGACGUGGAAUUCCAGGUGUAGCGGUGAAAUGCGUAGAUAUCUGGAGGAACACCGGUGGCGAAGGCGGCGUCCUGGACCGGUAUUGACACUGAGGAGCGAAAGCCAGGGGAGCAAACGGGAUUAGAAACCCUAGUAGUCC